AUUGAACGCUGGCGGCAGGCUUAACACAUGCAAGUCGAGCGGGGUGAUGGUGCUUGCACUAUCACUUAGCGGCGGACGGGUGAGUAAUGCUUAGGAAUCUGCCUAUUAGUAGGGGGCAACAUCUCGAAAGGGAUGCCAAUACCGCAUCCGUCCUACGAGGGAAAGCAGGGGAUCACUUGUGACCUUGCGCUAAUAGAUGAGCGUAAGUCGGAUUAGCUAGUGGGUGGGGUAAAGGCCUACCAAGGGGACGAUCUGUAGCGGGUCUGAGGGGAUGAUCCGCCACACUGGGACUGAGACACGGCCCAGACUCCUACGGGAGGCAGCAGUGGGGAAUAUUGGACAAUGGGGGGAACCCUGAUCCAGCCAUGCCGCGUGUGUGAAGAAGGCCUUAUGGUUGUAAAGCACUUAAGCGAGGAGGAGGCUCUUUUGGUUAAUACCCAGAAUGAGUGGACGUUACUCGCAGAAUAAGCACCGGCUAACUCUGUGCCAGCAGCCGCAGUAAGAC
rnacentral:rRNA from 1 species